GAGGGUCUAGCUCAGUGGUACAGUGCAUGCCUAGCAAGCACGAGGUCCUGGGUUCAAUCCCCAGUCCCUCC
rnacentral:tRNA from 1 species